UAGUCCACGCCCUAAACGAUGCUAACUCGAUGUUUGGGUCUUGCACUUGAGCAUCCAAGGGAAACCGUUAAGUUAGCCACCUGGGGAGUACGUCGGCAACGAUGAAACUCAAAGGAAUUGACGGGGGCCCGCACAAGCGGUGGAGCAUGUGGUUUAAUUCGAUGCAACGCGAAGAACCUUACCAGGCCUUGACAUCCUGAGAACUUCCUAGAGAUAGGUUGGUGCCUUCGGGAACUCAGUGACAGGUGCUGCACGGCUGUCGUCAGCUCGUGUCGUGAGAUGUUGGGUUAAGUCCCGUAACGAGCGCAACCCUUGUCCUUAGUUGCCAGCACGUAAUGGUGGGAACUCUAAGGAGACUGCCGGUGACAAACCGGAGGAAGGUGGGGACGACGUCAAGUCAUCAUGGCCCUUACGGCCUGGGCUACACACGUGCUACAAUGGAACGCACAGAGGGCAGCAAACCCGCGAGGGGGAGCGGAAUCCCACAAAACGUUUCGUAGUCCGGAUCGGAGUCUGCAGCUCGACUCCG
rnacentral:rRNA from 1 species